rnacentral:lncRNA from 1 species
UCUCUCUUCAACCUUACGCUCAACAUUUCUCUCUCUCUCUUCAACCUUACGCUCAUAAGGAGCUUUACAGAAACCCUAAAAAAUUCUUCUCUCUUGGAGAAGACGACUGGAGGCGGCGGCUCACGGCGGAGCCUCCGUCCAUCUCCGGUAACCCUACCCAAAACGUGACCUAAACCACUACCUACAACUUCCCGAGUUCGAAUCCGGACUCUGAGAUCCCUAAACCAAACUCAAGGUGUUUGCAUGUUGCGAUUUAAAGCGAAAUAAAAGGGGUUCGUUAUAUUUACCACGGCGAAGGAGGUGAGUGGUGGCUUCAGGCGAAGAAGGAGCGCUUUGAUCCGAGUCCGUCGCCGGCAACCCGUCGCAGUUUCGGAUAAGUUUUCUUCCUCAACCUGCUUCUUUGUCUGUUUUC